rnacentral:lncRNA from 1 species
CCAGGCCCAAAUGGCAGCAAAAAUUAACUGUGAGAAUGCCACCAUCGUUUGCAGGCGAGUGGCUCUCGUUGGCUUGGAUCUGCUUUAGCUUUGAUACCUGACUCUCUCAAGCAGAGCAAGAGGGGACCUCGUGUUUUCUUGCCACUUUGUAAGGUUGAGGUGAGGGUGCACCAGCUUGAACAGCAUUCCCUGCUGCUAAGUGGAAGACACAGCCCUCUUUGGUCUGAGAGGAGAGGGGCUUUUGGAUGUGAUACUUGAGCCCAUUCUGUGGCUUCUGUUAGGCUUGUUCAUCUUCUUUGAGAAAUGCUCAUUUAUUUUUCAUUACUAAUGUCCAUUGAGUGAACAUUUAAUUGAUUUCUGCUAGAUGCCUCACGUGCAACGGGGAAGCAAAAUACCAAUUACUAAGACUAAACCAGAAUUAUCCUGGUGUUUUUAGGUCAAUGAUAUUUCAGUGAGAAUAAGCAAUGUUGAAGUUUAUUUAUUAGUUGUUGUUUAACAGUUCAGUGCUAUUGGCUGUAUUUUAGCUUAUUUUUGAUAAAGUGAACUAAAGUAGUUGACUGGUGAAGGUUGAUAGAUUAUAUAGAAAGCUAAUGGGUGGUCAUGAAAUAGGAUCUAGUCUUCUUGCCCUCUUGGGAUCUACACCCCUCAUUCCUGCACCAGCUCUACCAUCGUCUUUGUCCCAGGCUGAUGCCUCAAGGUCUUCAGUGAUUCCCUUUUCCAGUGAGAGGAUGGUGAACAUCUGUGGCAGAAUGGUGUUUAAGACCUCACUGAGGACAUCUCCCCUUUUCUGCUUUGAUCUCUUUCUUGUCUCUUUCUUCCUCGAGGUCUCUGUUAAGGUCAUAUGUAUUCACUAACAUUGUCCAUAGUGUUAUACCUGAGAAUGGAUAUGCUGGCCAAGAUCUGAAGGACCAGUGGCAGUAAACAAAAGGAAUUUUAUGUGUUGUGUUUUUCACAUGAACCUUGUCAUCUAUUUGUUGGACUUUCUUAGGCAAAGCACCUGUUUUUAUGUUGUCAUUUCUUCAUUUCCAAAAUGGGACUAAUAACAUGCCACAGGUCUAAUGAUAGGAUUAAAUGAGAUGAUAGGAAGUUAUGUUUUUGUUUUGAUAGCACUGUACAGAAAGAUAAAGGGAGCUUUAGGAAGUGAGGAAGAAAAGCCCAGGGUCUGCCUGGGAGCCACAUGAGAUCAGAGGUUGGAAAGGGUUCAGUGCAGUGGAGCUGAGGGUCAAGGAAGAAGUCUAUGAAGAAUAAAAAUCUAUUUGUGUUGGUUGUUCCAAAAGUAGCAGGGCCAGUC